rnacentral:misc_RNA from 1 species
AAAUGAAAAAUCCUAUGAUUGAAUUCCAGGUUGGUGCUUGGGUUAAAAUCAUGGAACUUACAUAAAAGCCAUGAUUAGUAAUCCAUAUACAAUCAGAUUGUGGUCAUGAUUUAGCUAGGAAUUUUUUUCUCACCACCUCUACUAGAAACCACUUGAUAAUCAACAAUUUCUUCUCUUUGUUCCUUUAGGCAUCUUGUUGACGGAAGUCAACUAAUAAUGUCAUCAUAGAAAAGUCUUCAUCACAAACAAAAUACAAGAUAAGAUCUUCUACAUUGAAGACCUUACUUAUUUGCUCUCAUGGGGUAGAUCAAGGAAAUAAAGAUUGGAGUUGCGGCUCCUUGAAUGGAAAGUGCUUCUAAGUCAUUUAUUAGUUGGUGUUAAAGCUUACUACAUACCCAUAGCUACAUACUUUGAAAAAGCUAUUUAUAAGCUAGAUAAUUUUUACUGGUAGACUCGCAAUUACAAAGGAUCAUGUAGUUUGGCUAGCAUCAAUAUAGUUGAAGCCACUAAAGAUGUUGGCUGUAAAAGCAUCGUGGAUUGUUACAAUCAUUGGCCACAUUGGUUAUGUAGGGAUGUUGAUGCGAUAAAUAAAAUCUUGAGCUCUCAU